ACCGCACAGUUCAGACAGACGUUUUAAAAUCAUGUAGUGUGAACAAGGCUUAAGGAAGACUCACAUAUUGUCACAUUCUACAGGCUACAGCUGCAAGUAUUCUCACCUAUUCGUUUUUGCUUCUAUCCACUAAUGAGAUCAUCCACUUUGAAAUACAGGUAAAACCAAAAUUAUUCUUCUCUGAUUUGUGAAACUAUACUCUGGGUGACAGAAAGUAUAGAUAAAGCAUAAUUCAGUGAGUAUAUUUGUUUUUCCUUAUCCAUUUAUGAUCAAAGAAGACUGGGUGGUAUAUGAGCUCUAAAUUAAAAUCUAUUGCUUAUUCAUUCAUUUGUAUUCUAUUUCUUCAGGUAACGGGAGAACGGCUAGCAUUUCAGUUGCCAUGGACUCCCAAGGCUGUAGGAGAGGCCUCAACCAUCUAUUUUUUAACAACUUGAUAUAGAUCUCAUCACUACAGACCGGGCCCCAUCAGUUUGGCAUAAAGAAAAAACUAGUAACACUCGCCAACAAAAAGGAAAAUUGGGACCUGCAGGGCUGGCUUCGGUCGAUCCUCAAUCACUUUUGGUUCAUGUUCAUCUUGUGGUGAGAGUGCUGAGGAACUGAAGUGACGGUGGACCUCAGUCCUUCACCACAUCUGAAGCACACAUGGAAACAAGAUGGAUUGUAGAAGAUAAAAGACUUCUGAACGACCUAGUGCA